CCUACGGGUGGCAGCAGUGGGGAAUAUUGCACAAUGGGGGAAACCCUGAUGCAGCGACGCCGCGUGAAGGAAGAAGUAUUUCGGUAUGUAAACUUCUAUCAGCAGGGAAGAAAAUGACGGUACCUGACUAAGAAGCACCGGCUAACUACGUGCCAGCAGCCGCGGUAAUACGUAGGGGGCAAGCGUUAUCCGGAUUUACUGGGUGUAAAGGGAGCGUAGGCGGUUUAGCAAUUCAGAAGUGAAAGCCCGGGGCUCAACUCCGGGACUGCUUUUGAAACUGUUGAACUAGAGUGCAGGAGAGGUAGGUGGAAUUCCUAGUGUAGCGGUGAAAUGCGUAGAUAUUAGGAGGAACACCAGUGGCGAAGGCGGCUUACUGGACUGUAAAUGACGCUGAGGCUCGAAAGCGUGGGGAGCAAACAGGAUUAGAUACCCCUGUAGUC
rnacentral:rRNA from 1 species